rnacentral:lncRNA from 1 species
UCAGAAAUCCAUAAUGAAAAUCAAUGAAAACAAACACCGCAUUAUUUGCACGCACGCAGGCAUGCAAGGGUGCGACCGAGCUAAGGCGACGCUAUAAUCUGUGAUAACAUCUCCCUGCUCUCGAUCUUUUUAUCCGCGCUUAAUCAGUAGAGGAAGUAUGCGAGAAAGGAGACGGCGGCGAGCGCGACGGUGGGGGCGGCCGCCACGGCAUUGCCGUCGCUGGCGGGCUUGGCGGCCUCAGUGGCCACGGCGGCGGUGGCCGAGGCGGCCAACAUGAGGGCGGCGAAGGCGAUCUUCUUCAACUCCAUCGUAGCUAUAAGGCUGCCCGGCCUGUGACUGGUUUUAUUUUAUUCUUUGCUGUGGGAGAUGGAGUUUAUUGAUUGGCUCUUAUUUCUCG